rnacentral:rRNA from 1 species
GAUGAACGCUGGCGGCGUGCCUAAUACAUGCAAGUCGAGCGAACAGACGAGGAGCUUGCUCCUCUGACGUUAGCGGCGGACGGGUGAGUAACACGUGGAUAACCUACCUAUAAGACUGGGAUAACUUCGGGAAACCGGAGCUAAUACCGGAUAAUAUAUUGAACCGCAUGGUUCAAUAGUGAAAGACGGUUUUGCUGUCACUUAUAGAUGGAUCCGCGCCGCAUUAGCUAGUUGGUAAGGUAACGGCUUACCAAGGCAACGAUGCGUAGCCGACCUGAGAGGGUGAUCGGCCACACUGGAACUGAGACACGGUCCAGACUCCUACGGGAGGCAGCAGUAGGGACUCUUCCGGGAGGGGCGAAAGCCGGACGGAGCAACGCCGCGUGAGUGAUGAAGGUCUUCGGAUCGUAAAGCUCUGUUAUUAGGAAAGAACAAAUGUGUAAGUAACUAUGCACGUCUUGACGGUACCUAAUCAGAAAGCCACGGCUAACUACGUG